rnacentral:rRNA from 1 species
GGAGGAAUAUUGGUCAAUGGACGGAAGUCUGAACCAGCCAAGUCGCGUGAAGGAAGAAGGUUCUAUGGAUCGUAAACUUCUUUUGUAAGGGGAUAAAGUGUACUACGUGUAGUAUUUUGUAGGUACCUUACGAAUAAGGAUCGGCUAACUCCGUGCCAGCAGCCGCGGUAAUACGGAGGAUCCGAGCGUUAUCCGGAUUUAUUGGGUUUAAAGGGUGCGUAGGCGGGAUUUUAAGUCAGUGGUGAAAGUU